rnacentral:lncRNA from 1 species
CUAGGCCACACCCUGCGCGCACCCAACCCGCAUGCUGGCCGCACUUGGGCCGUGCACUGUCGCCGCUCCGCCGGCCCGCCGCUGGCCGUCAGCAGUCCACCACCUUUCCGAGUUUCAUGCUGACUUCAAAAGGUCGAUCUCCUCCAUCCGAGCUCCAUUUAAUGUGAUCUUGAUCUCAUUGGACUUUAUUUUUUAUCGCGAACCUCAUUGUGGGCUCAAUAUAGAUCGAAUCUCGAGAUAUCAAAUUCUAAUAAAAAAGUUAGAUAUAUAUUUUAAAAGAUUGCCAAAAAGAUAGUUCUAGUACUGGAUGCCAAAAAUAAAGUGAGAGAG